rnacentral:tRNA from 1 species
ACCCAGGUGGCUCAGUGGUAAAGAAUCUGCCUGCCAAGCAGGAGACAUGAGUUUGAUCCCUGGGUG